AGAUUGAACGCUGGCGACAGGCCUAACACAUGCAAGUCGAGCGGUAGAGAGGUGCUUGCACCUCUUGAGAGCGGCGGACGGGUGAGUAAUGCCUAGGAAUCUGCCUAGUGGUGGGGGAUAACGUUCGGAAACGGACGCUAAUACCGCAUACGUCCUACGGGAGAAAGCGGGGGACCUUCGGGCCUCGCGCCAUUAGAUGAGCCUAGGUCGGAUUAGCUAGUUGGUGAGGUAAUGGCUCACCAAGGCGACGAUCCGUAACUGGUCUGAGAGGAUGAUCAGUCACACUGGAACUGAGACACGGUCCAGACUCCGUACGGGAGCAGCAGUGGGGAAUAGUUGGACAAGUGGGGA
rnacentral:rRNA from 1 species